AAUGGAUGAUGAGGGUUUAUAACUAUGGGAUAAGAAUGGGGUGAGAAUGUGCGAGGCAAUUUUUAUUUUGGUUUUAGCUUUCACUUUUUCUUGUUUUAGAAACAUAAAAAAGUUGUGUUAAAAUAAAUGAAAAACAUAGAAAAACUAUGUUAAAAGAAAUGGAGAAUGGAGGAAAAUAGAUGGAGAAACAGAAGAGAAUGAAAAGAAAAAAAGAAAAAAAAGGGGAAAUUUAAAAGAACAUAAACGGAAAAAAAAUUAAAUUGCUAUGUUAUAAUAAAUGUCAAUAAUGGUAGUAGAACGAUCUUAAAGCAAUAAGAAAAAAAUAAGAACACAUAGCUUUUACGUGGAAACCUUUUCGGGAAAAAAAUACGGG
rnacentral:lncRNA from 1 species